rnacentral:tRNA from 1 species
AGGCGUGUAGUUUCAAUCGGCAAAACGUCGGUCUCCAAAACCGAAGUUCUCCGUUCAAAUCGGAGCGUGCCUGCCA